rnacentral:rRNA from 1 species
UGCGCAGGCGGGGAUGUAAGUCAGUGGUGAAAUACUGCCGCUCAACGGUAGAACUGCCAUUGACACUGCAUCUCUUGAGUAUGGUUGAGGUAGGCGGAAUGUGUUGUGUAGCGGUGAAAUGCAUAGAUAUGACACAGAACGCCAAUUGCGAAGGCAGCUUACUAAACCAUUACUGACGCUGAGGCACGAAAGCGUGGGGAGCGAACAGGAUUAGAUACCCUGGUAGUCC